GAUUGUUCCGCCCUGUGACGUAAUGAUCGGUUUCCGAGUCAGUUGUAAUAAGCGUACGGCCGGCGGAGGCUAUAAAAAAAGUUUUAGGCCCUUUGUUUGCUUGACUGUGUUAUUAGCAGUCAUUUUCACUGCUGUAGUAUUUCCUGUUUAUAUUUGCACAUUUUAUUAUGUAAUGACCCACUUAGCUAAGUUAACAAAGGUAGUAGUAGUAAAAAGUCACGUGUUAAUAUUCAUACUCCAAGAGUCUGCUAAUUUAACACAUUACAGUAGACAACUUUAUUGUUAUGUUGCCAGGUCCAUAUACCCUAUUUCUAUGUGUUGUUGCUAUUGUCUGUCAGAUGUUCUGGCAGCGUAUGUUGCUUGUUUUUUCCUCCCAUUUCGCUCAGGUUGUUUAACUCCAUGAACACUUCAAUGUAAACUGACAAGUGGUUGUAGGAGGUCUGUUAGUAGUCGGGAUACAUUGAACUCGGGAAGUUUGGUCUGCAGAAAGGAAGGCAGUCGAUAUUUGUCAAUGGCGUAUUCCCCUGCAAAGGACCAUCUUGGAAGCAGUUUCAAAGUUUCAGCAACUUAUUCCGAUGGAUUGAUACCUUCAUUUCUGGAAUACCCUAAACAUAAACCUUUCUUAAAUUCUGACUUGAGACGCUCCAUUAACAGACCAGUUU